AUUGAACGCUGGCGGCAUGCCUUACACAUGCAAGUCGAACGGUAACGCGGGGCAACCUGGCGACGAGUGGCGAACGGGUGAGUAAUGCAUCGGAACGUGCCCAGUUGUGGGGGAUAACUGCUCGAAAGAGCAGCUAAUACCGCAUACGACCUGAGGGUGAAAGCGGGGGAUCGCAAGACCUCGCGCAAUUGGAGCGGCCGAUGUCGGAUUAGCUAGUUGGGGGGGUAAAGGCCCACCAAGGCGACGAUCCGUAGCUGGUCUGAGAGGACAACCAGCCACACUGGGACUGAGACACGGCCCAGACUCCUACGGGAGGCAGCAGUGGGGAAUUUUGGACAAUGGACGCAAGUCUGAUCCAGCCAUGCCGCGUGCGGGAAGAAGGCCUUCGGGUUGUAAACCGCUUUUGUCAGGGAAGAAAUCUUCUGGGUUAAUACCUCGGGAGGAUGACGGUACCUGAAGAAUAAGCACCGGCUAACUACGUGCCAGCCGCCGCAGUAACAC
rnacentral:rRNA from 1 species